UACGUAGGGUGCGAGCGUUGUCCGGAAUUACUGGGCGUAAAGAGCUCGUAGGUGGUUUGUCGCGUUGUUCGUGAAAACUCACAGCUCAACUGUGGGCGUGCGGGCGAUACGGGCAGACUAGAGUACUGCAGGGGAGACUGGAAUUCCUGGUGUAGCGGUGGAAUGCGCAGAUAUCAGGAGGAACACCGGUGGCGAAGGCGGUUCUCUGGGCCUUACCUGACGCUGAGGAGCGAAAGCAUGGGGAGCAAACAGG
rnacentral:rRNA from 1 species